AACGCGAAGAACCUUACCUGGGUUGAACUACGCAGGAAAAGCCGUAGAGAUACGGUGUCCGCAAGGGCCUGCGAUAGGUGGUGCAUGGCUGUCGUCAGCUCGUGUCGUGAGAUGUUGGGUUAAGUCCCGCAACGAGCGCAACCCUUGUCCUAUGUUGCCAGCGGGUAAUGCCGGGGACUCGUAGGAGACUGCCGGGGUCAACUCGGAGGAAGGUGGGGACGACGUCAAGUCAUCAUGCCCCUUACGUCCAGGGCUGCACACAUGCUACAAUGGCCGGUACAAAGGGCUGCUAUUCCGCGAGGAUGAGCGAAUCCCAAAAAGCCGGUCUCAGUUCGGAUUGGAGUCUGCAACUCGACUCCAUGAAGUCGGAGUCGCUAGUAAUCCCGGAUCAGCAACGCCGGGGUGAAUACGUUCCCGGGCCUUGUACACACCGGAGUGC
rnacentral:rRNA from 1 species